UACGGAGGGGACUAGCGUUGUUCGGAAUUACUGGGCGUAAAGCGCACGUAGGCGGCUUUGCUAGUCAGGGGUGAAAUCCCGAGGCUCAACCUCGGAACUGCCUUUGAUACUGCAAAUCUCGAGUCCGGAAGAGGUGAGUGGAAUUCCUAGUGUAGAGGUGAAAUUCGUAGAUAUUAGGAAGAACACCAGUGGCGAAGGCGGCUCACUGGUCCGGUACUGACGCUGAGGUGCGAAAGCGUGGGGAGCAAACAGG
rnacentral:rRNA from 1 species